CCCGCACAAGCGGUGGAUUAUGUGGAUUAAUUCGAUGCAACGCGAAAACCUUACCUACCCUUGACAUGCUAGGAACUUGCCAGAGAUGGCUUGGUGCCCGAAAGGGAACCUAGACACAGGUGCUGCAUGGCUGUCGUCAGCUCGUGUCGUGAGAUGUUGGGUUAAGUCCCGCAACGAGCGCAACCCUUGUCAUUAAUUGCCAUCAUUCAGUUGGGCACUUUAAUGAGACUGCCGGUGACAAACCGGAGGAAGGUGGGGAUGACGUCAAGUCCUCAUGGCCCUUAUGGGUAGGGCUUCACACGUAAUACAAUGGUCGGUACAGAGGGUUGCCAACCCGCGAGGGGGAGUCAAUCCCAGAAAACCGAUCGUAGUCCGGAUUGCAGUCUGCAACUCGACUGCAUGAAGUCGGAAUCGCUAGUAAUCGCGGAUCAGCAUGUCGCGGUGAAUACGUUCCCGGGCCUU
rnacentral:rRNA from 1 species